rnacentral:rRNA from 1 species
CUACGGGCCGCUGCAGUGGGGAAUAUUGGACAAUGGGCGAAAGCCUGAUCCAGCCAUGCCGCGUGGAUGAAGAAGGCCCUAGGGUUGUAAAGUCCUUUCGGUGGUGAAGAUAAUGACGGUAACCACAGAAGAAGCCCCGGCUAAUUUCGUGCCAGCAGCCGCGGUAAUACGAAAGGGGCUAGCGUUGUUCGGAAUUACUGGGCGUAAAGCGCACGUAGGCGGCCUUGUAAGUUGGGGAUGAAAUCCCGGAGCUCAACUCCGGAACUGCCUUCAAAACUACAAAGCUAGAGGAUGUGAGAGGAUAGUGGAAUUCCGAGUGUAGAGGUGAAAUUCGUAGAUAUUCGGAAGAACACCGGUGGCGAAGGCGACUGUCUGGCACAUUUCUGACGCUGAGGUGCGAAAGCGUGGGGAGCAAACAGGAUUAGAUACCCCUGUAGUC